rnacentral:RNase_P_RNA from 1 species
UGAGUAAGCCGGGCAGCCGCGGGCACAAGCCGAAAGGCUGUGCGUGAGGAAAGUCCGGGCUCCACAGGGCAAGAAUAACGGGUAACGCCCGCCGAAGGCGACUUCAGGAAAAGUGCAACAGAGAUAUACCGCCGUGACCUUGUCACGGUAAGGGUGGAAAGGCAGAGGUAAGAGCCUGCCCGAUGGUUGGAGACAAUCCAUCGCUGUAAACUCUAUUCGGAGCAACACCGUGGGAGAACACAUAGUCUGCCCGACUGUUCUCAGGAGGUGGCUUGACUCCGCCGGCAACGGCGGAGCUAGAUAGAUGGCUGUCUAAGACAGAAUCCGGCUUAUAGACUUGCUCACAUC